UGAGUGCAGAUUAUAUUAGUUUCCUCAUCACUUUACUUUCACGUUUCAGAGUCUCACCAGAAAACUGUUCCUCUCUGGGAUAUGAAGGAAUCUCAAAUCAAGCUACCUUUAGAACAAUUACCAGAGUUAUUUGCUCUUGUCUAUCUCAAAUUGGGGAUGACCAUCUUGUUCUCCAAACUUUGGAAAAAAAAUUCUUGAUGAGAUGUCACUGAAACUGCCAUUAGACAACAUCUGUGCAUUUCUCAGGGUGUUCGUCACCUUGGACACCAAACCCACAAGGUUCUCUGAACGGAGUGUUAUCAAAUUAAGCAAUGUCCUCUGUAAAUACUUGAUAAAUGUUGCAUCUGUAAGUGAUAUUCUGUUUUUGAUUCUUGUUCUUGA